rnacentral:rRNA from 1 species
GAUGAACGCUGGCGGCGUGCCUAAUACAUGCAAGUCGAGCGAACAGACGAGGAGCUUGCUCCUCUGACGUUAGCGGCGGACGGGGGAGUAACACGUGGAUAACCUACCUAUAAGACUGGGAUAACUUCGGGAAACCGGAGCUAAUACCGGAUAAUAUAUUGAACCGCAUGGUUCAAUAGUGAAAGACGGUUUUGCUGUCACUUAUAGAUGGAUCCGCGCCGCAUUAGCUAGUUGGUAAGGUAACGGCUUACCAAGGCGACGAUGCGUAGCCGACCUGAGAGGGUGAUCGGCCACACUGGAACUGAGACACGGUCCAGACUCCUACGGGAGGCAGCAGUAGGGAAUCUUCCGCAAUGGGCGAAAGCCUGACGGAGCAACGCCGCGUGAGUGAUGAAGGUCUUCGGAUCGUAAAACUCUGUUAUUAGGGAAGAACAAAUGUGUAAGUAACUACGCACGUCUUGACGGUACCUAAUCAGAAAGCCACGGCUAACUACGUG